GUUGUCACACAGCAUUGGAAAACAUGACCAAAAUCUCAAUCAUAGUCUUUUUCUUCAGUGUAGAAGUCGGCGUGUUCUCUGCUCUCAUCAUCCAGCAGUCCCCGCCACAUGUACUGAAGACACCUGACCAGAGAGAAGCGAAGUUUAGUUGCAGACAUGGUGAUACCAGCUAUCCUUACAUGUACUGGUAUCAACAGAAGAAUGGCUCCAUUGAGCUGAUCGGAAUGCUGCACUAUGAAAGAGCCACGCCGGAGGACAGUUUCAAAGCACGAUUCGACAUCUCAGGACACUCUCAGGGUGAUGCAUUUCUGGUCAUAUCUAAUAUAACUGCGGCAGACAGCGCGGUAUAUUUCUGUGCUGCUAGUAUGCACAGCCAUUCACCUCCCUGCUCACCUCAACAAAAAGCUACACACCACACCUGUAAAUAA